AAGAGAGGCCCGAUGGCAGUAGAAAUUGCUAAUUUCCAUCCCCAUGGUUAAACCCCAAGGCUCCCUUG
rnacentral:tRNA from 1 species